UUGGAGAAAUGUCGACCCUGGGGCGGCUGGGCAAUCCAGUGGAGCAUCCGACUGGAGGAUGUUGUCUCGGUGCCCUUCAUUUCUGGCACCAGCCUUGUCAUACAGGUCAGACAGGAUGAAUCUGUAGCAAGUUUUACGGGCAGUGAGCGCUUCCUUGUUUGCCAAGAUCAAGAUUUACUCAAGUGGCUCAAGCUGAAAAUUGAGACAGUGCUGCUAUUCACCAUGGAAGAAAGGCCCUGCUCUCUUGAUGGCUAAGUCACAAGAAAUCAUUGUUUAAGUUGUUCUGCUGAAAUUUCAUUCUGUGCUCUUCCUUAAAGCAACAGCUAGCAC